UGAAUGGUCAAGUACAGUUUAAGGAUUUUAAAAAAUGCAUAAAGCUAUGAAAGAUUAUGUAAAAAUAAUGAUAUUGUCUGUCAUGUUACAAAUGUUGAUCACUCUAUUACAAACAUAGACUGUGCAGCAGCUUGGCACAUGCAGUGAUAGGAGAGCAGAUAUUUAUCAUACCAUGUUACUUGAAUUGGAAUUGAGGAAAUUCCCUGCAAUCCGCAAACUGAAGUAAUAUUCAUAGCUAGUUUAGUUAAGCAAACUGAGUCGUUUAGCAUGGAAGUGUCACGAAUACCACCGAAGGUGGCUCCCCUUUCUGCUCGGGUGGCGCUCGGCGGUCCUCGUCGCCGGUCUAUUAGCUGCCACCGAUCCCUUUUUCCUUUUCGUUUGUUUUUGUCUAAUUGUUUUCACCUGUUCCUUGUUGGGGUUUUGGGAUGGGUGUUAUUGAAGUUCGUUUUGCCCGCUGGUGUUUGUGCGGGCUUGUUGGUUUGGUGAUGUAUCGUGUUUGUUUUGAGUUUUCGUUGUCCAGUGUUUUGUAACUAGGUUUUGGGUUUGUUUAGCGCCAGUGUUUUAGGGCAUUCACCCAUGUUUGGACCUGUUACGUUUUGAAGGACAUGAAAGCGUUUUUCCCGUUCACUUCGCUCUCUGCAUUUGACUCCUCACUGAUCAUUUACCCGACGUUACAGGAAGUACAAAUAAAUAAUCGUUAUUGUCCCCUUUUGAAGUCCAUUGUCAGUAAUCAAGCAAAUCAGAAAGAUACACUUCUGUAGUUAAUUGGAACCAAGAUUAAAAUCUACAAGGUGCCUAUUCAAGAUCAACCCAGAUAAGGGGUCCAAAGUGGAGAAGUCAAGAAAGCAGCAUGCAAUCAAUCCCAAAAGUUAUUUUUCUGAUCUCAAACAUCGCAGACUAUGAAUGGAGGGAGUAGCCUCGCGCACGCACGCAUACAGUUUCACAACUGAUGCCAGUUAGAUGAAGGGUGUUGCCCAUCUUCUCCAUUACACCCUGUGUAUGUAUACCUGUGUUCUCUGUUUGUCUGUUGCCAAUUCAUUUUGUUUCGGCAAGCCUACCAGCAGUUUUCCCUAUGCUCCUGUCGCGAUUGUUCCUGUUGUCCCGGUGUUGAUCAAUCUGCCUGUCUGCUGUCCUGUGCCUUUGCCCCACCUUUCUAGAUUACUGACCUUUGCCUGCCCUGAGCCUGCCGGCCAUCCUGUACCUUUGCCCUACCUAUCUGGAUUACUGACCUCUGCCUGCCCUUGACCUGCAUGCCCCUGUUCGAUUAAUAAACUGUUGUUACUUCGAUGUUGUCUGCAUCUAGGUCUUACCUGAAAAGUAAUAAAUUAUCUGUGUUCUAGCUAUA
ensembl:lncRNA